CUUCAGAACUCAGUUGCUGAAAUUACUGGGACAGAUAAUGCUUGUGACCUUAGGGUCAUUGUGGAUUCUGUGCUUUCUUUUGAAGCCCACAUCAAUCAGACUCCAUUGCUAACAGUGACAGAACCCUGACUAGAAAAAAGACCGGAAGAAGAAUCUGAGGCAGAGAGAGAACAGUUGGC